CCCCCGGGCGGGGCGUGCUGGGCGCCGGGCAGCCUGCGGCGGGGACGCGCUGUCGGUGCGGGACCGCGGGAGCCGGUGGCCCCGCCAGCGGAGCCGGUUAAUCACCGCGUCGUUCCCCUCCCACUGAGCUGCUCCGCGGAGCACUGAGGCGAUCGUUGGCGCGUGGCGUGAGCUGCCCUCAGAGUAUCGGAGGGACAGACUGCUGGCUGGGUCCUUGCUGCACCACAGGUAUUUUCAGUUUCAGGCCAUUGUGUUUUACUGGCAAGCGUGGUGUGCUGGAGGUUACGGGAGGCAGUGACCUGCUGAAGGCAUGAGCGGGCCGGGAGGGGCCUGAUAAGAGCGGAGCCAUGUCUGUGUGCACAUACGUGGCCUUGUUUACUUCUUGCAGACAUUGACCUGCGAGAGUGCUCAGAAAGCUGCUGAGAGGCUCCGGGCUAUACGUUGCCCUCGGGUCAGAAUCUACACCGAAUGUUUGUAUGUGAUGUUCUUGUAAACGUUUUCACAUGUGCAAUGCAAAGAUCAGCAAGCUGAUAUCUUAUGUCAAGGCCAUGUGGAAUGUUUCCUUGUGAGCUUAGUGCCUUUUGGCAGUAAGGGUGGGUGGGUACCAGAGCUGAGAUGUUGGAGAGGAGAAGAAAUGGAGAAGGAACAGCUACAUGUGUGCACUUCCCAAGCAUGGAAGGAGUCUGGCAGCCCUGGGGUCUGGCUGCUGUUGUUCAGGUGUCCGGUGUUCUGGUGUAAGGGCUUUCCUCCUUGGCAUUGGCGACCUCAAGGGAUCCCAGAAAUGGUGAGAAAUAGACCUGAUCACCACUUUGCAGAAAACUUUAAAGUAAAGCACGUCAUUUUUGUCAACACCCGUAGUGUGUAUGUGCGUCUUUGAGCGAUUGUGGUUGGCAGCUUAGUCUCAGUGGCAGACUGGCCUCCCUGGGCUGUGUCUCCCAGCUGUGUCACAACCUCCCUGCUGACCUCACACUGCUCCAGUGGCCGGUCCAAGGAUGCCAAGCCCCAGCUGCAGUGAAGCAAGUGCUCUGUUAAUGCCACCAUUUUGAGGAGAAAAACAUCUUGACUUCCUUUUGAGCAGCGUCAAGCAGCAGCUAGCAAGUUCCAACGUUAAUGGAGGGACAAGAAACGAAUGCAGUUGAUCUUCUUACUCAUUCCUUGCUUCAGAGCAUCCGUGACUGCCAUGUCCCCCUCGCGCGGCGCUUCCUUCCCCGUGCAGAGGGGCCUGCACGAAUCCUGGCACUUUGCUCCAGAAGCCCACGUGGUGUGUGUGGUAACAGCACUGCCGUCAUGCUCGGCUCGCUCCCGUACCUUUAGUCCGUCAGGUGCCCAGUUUCAGGGCAAACAGAGCAGUGAGUGCCCAGGUUUGUUUUCCAUGCUGUUGAGGAAGAUAGGUGUUUUUAGGACCGGGGGAGUUGUGUUGGUACACUGUGUGCUGUACUCAGUGCCACUUUCAGAGAAAAAUUUCCAGAUCUGCUUCUGAACUUCAUGACCUUGUCUGGCAGGCUUCAAAUAGAAGACCUUAUUUUCUGCUUUGGGUAAUAUUUCUUUAAUCUGGUGGCGAAUUUUAGCUAAAUCUUUCAGGCCUGUCCUAUGGUGGUCCCAGUUGAGCAGGGUGGCUGGGAGCCUUCCUCUGCAACACCUGGGUGUGAGCAGUGCUGGAAACAGGAUGCUUGGCAAAAAUGGAUCUUGGCUCUGAACCAUUGUGGUUUUUCUAAUGAAAUCUGUUUGCCACCUGCAUCUCUCUAGGGUGUGACUCUAUUUUAGAGAUGUUGUAAAUGCAUAAACAACCUUCUGACCUUCCUCACUUCCAUCUUUUGCUUUAUUGCAAUUUCCUUCUCUUCCUCUUCAUCCUCUCUCACAGUCCUGCAUCCUUGCAGACAUUCCUUAUUGCUGGCUUGAGACGUUACCAAUUGACCAUUGUUUCACGGCUAAUUCAGACAGGAGGAGGAAAGAGCUUGCCCAGGGAGACGGAUGGCCUUCAGGAUCUAAUGAAUAACCCCUAAAUAUCAUCAGCUGAGCUCUUAGGCUUUAUUUUUAAUUUCUGAAGGCAUCGCACGACCCCGGUUCCCACCUUGUAAAUCCUGAGCAUCUGUGAAGGCUCAGCAAAGCUCAGUGCUGGAACCUCUGUGUGCACACACUGCAUUCACUUCUCCAGUUUGUAAAUAGAAUGGACUUUAAUUAAGAAAUGUUGAGACUGAAAUUCCCCAGUGACGCUGUCAUCCAGGAGCUCCAUUACCCUUGCCAGGUUAGUGCUGUGAGAGAGGUUAAUUAUUAUUUUUUUGUGGAAGUUUCUCAGAUAUAAGGAAGUUGUAUUUAAAUCCUGAGUAUUUGGGAUUGAAUUUUUAAUGUAUUCUAAUCACUGAAAACAACACUGGCACUGAAACUUCAGUGGGAGGGUUGUUUGUGAACUAUUAAUUAUUUUCAGUCUACUUGGCAUAAUAUGAAAGACUAUUAACAUAACCAGUCUUGCAGGUGAUGGUAAAUUCAACAAGCAUUACUUCUGCUUGUAGAAGAUGGCUUUGGUUAUUACUAAUCUUUCACAUAGAAGCCCUCUCCCAGCUGACAAAAACUCUUUACAGAACCGACCCCAAACCUUCCAUUUUGUCAGGAGUUCAGAAUGACUUUUUAUCUAAAAUAAAAUGCCUGCCUCCUUUCGAACACAGCAACAAAAAGCAGGGCUUUCAUUUUGUCUCAUAGAAAACAACAUUAUGGCACCACAGAAUUACUGUGCAACAAGUUCUAUGUCUUACCAGACUUAAGAGUUAGAACGUGUCUGUGAAAUCACAGGGUAAUUUUGGUCUUCUGCUUCAGUUAAAGGCCUUCUGUGGGCGAUAUGGCCAGGAGGAAGGUUGUUUGCCAUUGUUCCUAUGUAUUUACUGUCAGCGUUGAGGUAGCAGCUUGAAUCACGGAGGCUCGUCUGAGAAUGUAAUUAAUUCUGGCGAAAAGGAUAUGUAUUUUUCAGACCAACCUGCACUUCUGAUCUACCUACAGCUUCCUUUGUGGGGUUACUCACAGCUCUGACAUAAUAUUGUCGACAUGUAUGUGAGCAUUAAAUGGCUUUUGUGGGUUUGAAGGGCUCUGUUCUUGUUGUUGAGACUAUAUAUUACUUUUGUGCUUGUUGAAAUGCAAGGCUGUGUAGUAGUCUUGCUCCUUUUACUGUCUCAAUUACACAUUUCCAGGUCGUUUCCAAGCAGGUGUUUGCUGUGCAGCAAUAUUGACUACUGAAGUGGCCUGUGGGCUUAGCAGCUUGUGAAAAUGAGCAAUAAAACAAAUUCAUGAGAAAGCAGCAUAAUAAUGCAAAUACCCACCUACUGAGUGAAAGGUACAUGUGAGAAAAGUUAGCCUUCUAAUGGUCCAAACAGGGAGUUAGUCAUGUGUCUGUAGGAAAGGAAGAAGAAAAAGGUCUCCUGUCCCCAAGGCUCCCAGCUUUGUGGGUUUGAUGUUCUACAGCUGCUUAAGAACUCUCAUCCUCUUCCACUCUGUUCUCCUCUAGCACCCUUACCAGUAGCCAGUGUUGUUUCAUUAACAAUAACUACCUUUUCCCUCAAUGGCUGGGUGUGGUGGCUGUGCAGCUGUAGCUAAAGGAAAUCAGUCCUUGGUUGAGUUUCUGGUGUGUGGGCAAAUGCUGUGAGAGCAUCGCUUCACACAGUUAGAAAUACUCAGCUUGUUUAUUAGUGGGAGCUCUGCUCUUCUCAUGAAAAUGUUCGGAGUGCAACACCGAAAGGUACAGCUCUUAUCGCUGCCUUACUGAACUUUCCCUGGUCUAAACAAAGCUGUGCUGCUAUCAGUUGGCUUCGUUUUUCUCUUUGCAGGCUUUUUUCUUGUUUAGUUCCCCUGAAAUUAACCUUCUACCUUUCUUUCGAUGCGGAUGGGUUUGUGGAGCUUGAAAUGAACUGUCACGACAAAUACUGUUUCUCCUGAGCUGAACUUGCAGCUCAGAGCAGAUCAUGGGGUGUACCCGAUGAGCAGCGAUGCAAUAUGUCAUCUCCACGUGUGCCUCAGUAUUUUUGCUUCCAUUUAGAAACACAGAAAUGGGAAGCCCUGUAAAUAGCUGCAUAUGUGCCUUUCUUUCCACGUGUGCCUGUAAUUAAAACAUUGCAGAUGAGUAAAUUGUGAAAAGGAAUGUCUGUUUCUUGUCUUUAAUGCAAGUAACAUUUUGAUGGCAAAGAAAUUAAUAGUGUAGUGACCUUUCUUAUGAAUGACCGGUGACUUCUGUAGUCCUUUCAGGUUCUUCACAUGCCUGGUUUUGUUUCUUUUUGCAGGUUUUUUCAGCUGCACGUGCUACCUACAUGCACUUUGUCUUUGAAGGAGACGAGAGCACGGAAAUCCCAUUUUUCAUGCUCCCCAGCUGCACGGGCAGUAUUACAGUUCCACCUGUGCUGGCAGGGUUUUCCUGUUUUAGAAGAUUAAUUUUGUUGAGUAACUCCAAGUUCCUCUAAAAGAAACAAUUUUCCUUUCCUGUAUGGCAAGAGAGAUUGCAAUCUUCUGAGGCUAUAAACUUGUUUAUGUCUAACAGUCAAGCAUUCAAAGGUACCUAAGUGCUUGAGAUUCAGUUCCCUUGCAUGGAUGUUAAUUCGAGCGGCUGCUGUGACUUCUAUUACCUCUUUUAGAGGUUGUUGUCCUUGAAACCAGUGCUCCAUCCAGUGACAAGUUUGCUGCUUGUUCUCGUUAUUUCUUUCCAAGUCACAAAACCUGCUCUCUGUAUACUGAACAGCUGCUCUGGGUGACUUCAAUACUUACGUUCUGCAAGUGAGCAAAUGUGGUUUCUAACACAGCUGCCCAGUGUUGACGGCCCCGAGCAGUCAUGCAGUUUUCACUCAUUUUCUCCCCAGCCCCAUUCAGCCCAUUGACCAGUCAGCACUUCUCCCUCACACCGUUAGCUUACUCUGGUCUAGUUCCAAACACCAGGGGAAAUGUCCUUCCUACUGAAUUUUGCUUCUGACAAAUCUUUUCAUUUGUGUCCUGCGUUAAACUGCCAUUUAUUACCUUGCUGUGGAGGACAUUUGAACGUGGCUUGCUCAGGGAGCUCUUGCCUGCACUUGUGCUCUUUUUCUUUUUUUUCUUAUUGGGCCCCUUUUGGGUUACUUGCCCCUUCUGCAUUGUUUUGCCAGGGUUGAAUGUUGGUGUUUUGGCCAUUGUGUACCACCUGUGCCCAAGAGCUGGAGCAGGCAGCCUGACUGCGGCUGUGCUGGGGCAGUGGGGGCCUACGGUGUUGAAUCCUUUGGCCCCAAAACAGGCAGACACCUGCAACUGUGGGGCUGGGGGGGUUGUGUACGAUAAGCCUGUUCUCUGAAGCACAUCACUAUGACCCGUGAACUAGAAAGGAGGCUUCCCAUGUGGUGCGAGCCCAAGCUCUGCAGCCAGGCUUGGUCUCUUAGGCUGUGGUCUACCCUGCUGCAGUAACACAUGGCGUACUUGGGGAAGUCAUAUUUUCAUCACCUCUAAAAUACCAACAAGUAAGUAUAGGUGCCAUGAGUGGAUGUGCUGCUACUUCCUCUGUUCUGGGGCAGCUUGUUACUUACGGGAGUGCAAGAAAGGGAAGGCCUCUUCCUAGCUGGAAAUAGCCAAGGUCUCAAAAUACCAGAGCCUAUGUGGUGGUAAGUGAAUGUGGAGCCUAGAAACCUUGGGAUGGGAAGAGUACAGAGAGGUAAGAGACAAAAAGGAAAAAAAAUGAAAGAUACUAUAUAUCACUUAAAAAUGAAUAGGAUUAAAGGGGCGCAGUGUGUCAUCUCAAAUGAAUAGGAGAAGGGAGUUUGUGAGGCACACUGAGAUUUUUGAACUUGUUUCUAGUUUAAGCAGGCUGUAUAAAGUUAUGUGUUCAUAUACCUCUCAUAUGACUUGUUUUGAAGGCUAGUAAGGUUUUCCAUGAAUAAAAGUCUUUGUUCCUUUCUCUGACCUGUCAUACUCUAUCUUCCAAAAUAGCAAGGGUUUAGCAGCGACAAUAAGAAGACAUUUGAGCUGGUGUCCUGAUUGCAUCCCAGCACCCAGAACCAACGCAUCCAUCAGUGAUUAAUAAAAGCUGCAAGACGUGAGCAACUUGCUCUGCUUGUGCCAAGGCCACGGGAGGUGUCAGGACAGCAGGAUGAGAUGGUGUCCCUUUGCAUUUAAAGCAGAUUACAUCAAGCCCAGACAGAGCAUUAUUGCUUUGAAUCUACCUUCUGAUCACAAAAGAAAAUCAUUCCUAACAAGGAUUGGGUAACACUGCUAAAGAGAUCUGAUUUUUGUCUGCUUAUUUCACUAUGUCUAGGUGGAAUUUUGGACACAAACCAGACUUUUGUGUGUUUUUUUUUGCCAUGUACUUUGUCUCCUGCAGUGUUAAGGGGUUAGAUUAAAGGAUGUCAGCUCAGCUAGAGAGUAUUUUUGAUCAGAUAUAACAGAAGUCGUUUGAUACCAGGUUGUAAGAGUAACGCUGACCAAAACUGGAAAAAUAGCUUGACCAUUGAGAGGCUUCUGCCAAAUACCUUAGAAAAGGUCACACUCAGCCAGCUGCUUUGGACUAAUGCUAUGGAAAGAAAUUGAGCUAAGCUAGUUCUUUAAUAGAAAUCCCCUUAAUAUCAUUACAAUGUGCAUCAGAUAGGAAAAACUGCAAGGAAAAGAGCAAAUUUGAAACUCUGGAAAAGCAUGGUCAGCUAGAUGGAAAGGAUAUAAGCAGAUGGGAUGAAUUGGAGUGGGCGAAACGUACAGAACCUGGCAUGUGCUGAGCACGUAUUGGUUUGGAAAGAUGGUUCAGCUCUGCUGGAUCGCUCACAUCUGUAAGGUUGUGUGUGAGGGUGUGGAAUUGAUCAAUUUAGACCCAGAGUGGGAAGCAGAUUGUUUUUCCUGUGCGUUGCAAAGGCAGAUUGAUAAUUAGGGUUUCCAGUAUCUCCGUAUCUGUCAAAGAACCUGAAUUAAGCAACCGCAGUAAUGCAGAACUGGCAAUAAAUGCGUUACACAAGCGCUCAUUCCUAGCGCCUGACUCCAGUAGCCUUAAUUCUAAUCCUAAUGUAUUUGUUUGCUAUCAGUUGCUAAGUGCAAAGCACUUUGCUAACAUCCAAAUUACUUGUUUGCUACUGAGUGAACCAGUCGUGUAUCAACUGCAGCAGCAUUGGGUUCCAUCAAUACAAUGUACAGGUGGAAGAGAACUUGUUUUUAGUGUAAGGAGUGAGAGAAAAACCCUCACGCUAGCUGAGCGUUCUGCUGGUAAUGUCACGGGUGCAGCCACGUGCAGUGAUACCUGCACAAACUGCCUGCUUACCAUGGGUGGAGGUUACGCUGAGUGUUGCCUUGCUGGGCUGUGAUGUAUUCAGUCUGCCCAGAAGGACUUAUGUUCUGGGCCAGGUGUGCAGAGUGGGACAUCAGCUUGUCCUUUCAAACUGUGCUCCAAAUAUGUGCUUUUUGUAUAUUUUAGCAGGGCACGCAGAAGCUGUAUCACACUACUGCCAUAUUCUGCAUGCUCCCAGUGCUGGGAGGGGCAGACCCCUGGCGCAGUUAUCACUGGCUGUAAGGAGAAACACAAAGCAUUGUUUGUUGAGUCUCCUCUGUUAUUAUUCUAAGUCAGUGUUUACGCAGUGGAACAGCCCCACUUCUUUAUUAGAUUCCAAUUAGAGUCUCUUCAUUUUUUUUUUUCAUUUUCUUUUGAGGGAGGUUAUCACCUGAUCUGUAACAACUUGAAGUAAUCAGUUUUUUAAUAGAGUUCAUAUGGCCAACCUGCUGCAGAGCCACAUGCCAAUUCCCUGAGCUGUCCUCGUGGGAGAAGCAGAGAAAACAACAAAAGAAAACCAAGCUCAGCUUUGCAAGAAAAGUGUAUGGUAAAUGACAAUUUAGCUGAGCAUCAGCAAUUCCUAGAUGUGUGUAAGAUGAUUAAGCCACGGAGUGCAAUGGAGUGUUUUCUGCCAGGGAACUUAGCAUCCACCAACACAGCCUCAUUUUUCAGAAAAGAUGUGUAUUUCUUUUUCAGUUCACACAUCCCAGUGACAAAUGGUAGUUUGAGAUACGACUCGAUUAGAGGAGAUGGCAGUAUAAGUCUCUUUAAUACUUUACUGAGGUCUUUUUCUCAAAGGAGUAUUUUGCAUUACAGUCAGGAUUUAUGGGUUAAGUAUAUGUUUUUGAAGCUAAAUUAUUAGAGGGAAGUACUACUGUUAAAGAGUUUUAAGAGGCUUUGAAUAUGUUUUACAUAGAAAUUGCCGUAGAAUGAGCUUUGUUACAUCUACAUCACAAAUAUUUUUUUGUUGCAAUGUGGAGUAAACUUAUUUUUCUGUAUUGUAGAUGUUAUCCAUUCAUUGUUAAUGGUGCGGGGAGCAAAGAUGGCAUUUCUAAGGUGCGUGUUAGCUGAUACCUGACACUGCCAUCGUGAAACACCCCUCCAGUGCACACUGUUACUGAUUUGCCUUAAUUGGAGGUCAUCCUUAUCGAAAAGAACCUGUAAAUAUAGUUAAUGAUGAGGUAAGGAUGCAUUUGAAGCUUCAGCUUAAAUCGUUCUGUAUUUAUACAAAUGUAGAGUGCCAUCAGAAACUCUGCUGGAUUUGCAUGAAGUGGUUAAAGGCAGCGUGCUCGCUUUGGGGGCAGCGCAUUCCUGCAGCUGGAACCCUCUGAUGAAGCCCUCAGCUGGAGGCUGGGAGGCAUCAUGCAGCAGUAGGGGGACAGACAUACGGGUAGGCUGGUCUGUGUGCAUUUCUGUAUGUCAGUUGGGUACGAGCUGUCAUUACACUCAGUCUUCGCCUCCUGUAGUCUUCGUGCUGUGCCAGAUGAGCAGCCUGCUGUCAGCUCCUGGUUGGAUGGGUGCACCCACCCUGUGCUGUGGUCCUGCCAAGCACGAGGUGGGGGUGGGUGUGAGGCUGGCAUCUCCUUCCUUGUGCCAACUGACACGAGGCUGCACUCCUGGUGGGUGGCUGCAGGGGAAAAGUGAGGGUGAGCGCAUUUCUUCUGCUGUCAGCAUGGUUCUCCCUGCACAUAGAGAUUGCUUGUGGACUUUGGUGCCCUCAGUGCCUUGACUGAAAAAUGGAUGCCUUUCAAUUGAAUGUAACUUGUUGAAAAGUCUGGAAGCCACUGAUCUUUCUGGGAGUCUGCUUAGCCCAGGCAGUUGCAUUCUUUGAAGCCUAGAAGUCAGAAGUUCUAUCAUUAUUUCACUGAAGACGUUAUUUCACAGUAUAAAGAAGAACUGUGAGCGCAGCGAGUUGCUGAUUCUUAGGAAAGUGGCAGUGGUGAGCCAGAGCUUUUUCCAGAGGUGUUUGCAGCUGCAGAGGUCUUUCCAGUGGUUCCUCUUCUGUGGGGGAGCUAAAAGCAGGGAGGAAUUAAUGUGCAAAAACCUUUCUUCAAAACAUUUCUUAACGAGCACGGCACAUUCCUGUGAUAUCUGUGACAGCAAUCAUUAACUCAUGUUUCCAGCAACUCACGUUGCUGGGAACAACUUUCUGAGCGGGGCAGACUCCUUCUGGCAUGAGUUUGGCUUCGUGCCUGUGCUGAUCAGCCUGUACUUAAGGAUAGCCCAUACCAGGUACUGAGAUGUGCACAACAGUUUUCAUGCAGUUGCGAUCUGAUUCUGCUCUGAUGGCCACAAGUUUUGUUUCACCGUGCUUUUGUCUUCCUAUAGUCACUGCUAUCAGUGCAGCAGCUGUGUGGAGGUGGGAAGCCUGCUGAGAGCAGCUGGCCUUGGGGUCUGGAGCUGUGACAUUCAGUGUGCAGGCUCAUUGCAGAGUGGAGGUUGGGCAAAAAGGGCUGCUGCUGUAAUCAUGGGGAAAGGCCAGGGCCUGGAGGAGGCUGUGUGCUGGUAUUUCUGCUUUCCAUGUGUUGCCCAAACAGGAGUAUGCCUCGUGCAGUUUGUCUCUGGGAUCAGUUUUGUUGCAACUCUAUAAUGAAGGCUAGGGGAGCUCACUGUGCUGUAAGACAGUCUUCCAACAAGUUCAAUUGGAGCCACAUAUCAGUAAACAUCAAACCAAGUUAUUAAUAUCCCGUCUUCAGAUGCUUCUGUGACUUACUACAUCACAAGACUGCAUGUGUGCUCUUCUUCAUGAAAGCCCAUCAAAAACUCAUUAAAAAGCAGUAUGUGUUUGCUGUACUUUCAGGUUAGAAGAUCAGUGGAGCUUUUUCCUUUUCAAACAGCUUUGUGUGUAAUGAAACAUUCUGCACAUCAGCAGAGACCCCUGGCUCCAGGUAGUGUUCAGCACUGCUGGUGCUGUGGCCUCUGCUGGGCCAUGAGGCUGACUGUCAGUGAAAUGAUUCAUUAAUGCAGAGGAGAACAAGCCAGCUCACCUGCAACUGCUCUCGGCCUUGUGCAGCUAAGAGGCAUUAAAAUAAAUAAUUUAUACCUAGAAAGUGUUAUAGGAAAUGCAUGAUUUUCAACAGAGCUGUUGGGUAUGAAGGUGAAGUUUUUGCUCAAGCACUUUUCAGAGUGGAAUUUAGUGUUGUUUACUGGGAGUUCCUCAGACACUUGACCCUAGGGCAGUCCUAAGGUCCUACGGUUUUCCUACAGAAAACCCUUUGGGAAAACACAAAUUCCAAUGGAAAAUCCCAGACAUUUCCUUGGGCAGUUUCCCAUUGGGAUUAGUGGUUUUCAAUCUCCUUGAGGUGAUUCAAAAGCCUAUCUUCAUCCAAGCGAUGUCCUAGCUUCUAUAUGUUCUUUGUUUGGAAGCACGUCCCCUUUGGGUUAGUUUGUGCAGAGCCAUAUUUGCCGCUGUUGUGGAGUGCUGAGGAUAGUAAGGGAGGAGGAAUUACUGGUGUACACUGCAAACAGCAUGCAUGCCUGAAGCAGUGCUAAAUUCCAAGGGGAUUUCCUCCACCAGUCUGAAAAGGGCUGUGGCUUCCCAACACUGUGCUCUCACUCCCUGGGAAAAAAAAUAUAUAUAUGUGAAAAUACAUAGGCUUGAAAAUUGGGGGGCAGGAUCACAAGCAGACAGUUUGUGAUGGAAAGCCAGAGGUUCAUGUGAUACAUCUUCAGCAGUAUGGGAAGAACCCAGCAUACUUGUGGCUAGAACUUGUCCUUAAACCUAUGACCAGAACUACUGUAUAGUGGGACACCACAUUACUUCAUUGCCCAGGCUGUGAGGCCACCAGAGAUAUCAUUUUCUGAGCAAGGCUUCAUUUGAUGAGGCUUUUAAAAUCUGUACUGGGAGACGGGAAGGAGGAUGACAGUAGUCAGUGAUUGGUAAGAAAUGCUCCUCUAAUAUUAAACUUUAGGUGCAGAAGAACAGAGGAAGUUGUUUUUUCCACUAUCAGAGAGGGAAGCAAUACCAGUUAAGCCAAGGCCUGCAGCAGGAACACUUACUGGAAAUGUUUACAUGUUACUUAAUGCCUUGACAUGCAUUAUUCAGCUUGUGCAAUGUCAGCCAGGGUGGAGCAGGGAGGAAUGGCUUUGCAGAAGAAUGUUUGCUCCCUGUGGAAUAUCUUCUCGAGCAUAACUACCUUUUUUUGGCAAAGAGAUGCAUUCCAGGAAUAAAAAUAAAAAGCUCUUCUGACACAUUUCUGUGAACUACUGGAACGUGCUCCCUUGUGAAGGUGACCUAACCUUAUCCAGAAGGCUAUAGCCUGUCCCCAGGCAGUGAUAUCCCAUCGGUAUGGCCUCACUGUAGAGCAGAAUAUCCAAAAAAAGCCCUCAGCGAUCCCCUUCCAAGCAGAAUGGCUACUCAGUAAAUGGUGGAGCUACUUAAAUGGAUGUGGUUUUCUUCUUGGAAAUGAAAGCCCAUCUUCCCAAUCAGAGGCUUAUACAGCAAGUGCCCUCCUGAGAAAGCCGCUUCAGCGCGUGCUUCCGUCUCCUGAUGUGCCUAAAGGACUUCCUGAGCUGCGGCCAAAUGGGCUGUGCUGACAAAAAGGCGAGGAUGGUUUUCUGCUCAUGUUAGCAGGAGGAGGGGGUAGGAAAGAGAAACGGAUUGGGAAGCACGAAGUUAGGCCAGCACCCCUCUGCUUGCCUCUGUGUUUACUUGGCAUCCAAACAGACAGAAGUUUCGUGAUUCACCUGCUGUCUGAUUUGUUUCACUGACAAAGCUAUGAUAAAUAGAGAAUUGGCAUGAUUUGCGUAGUUGUUUAAUCUGACAGGGUAUGACUCAUAGCAGUGAAGCUUUCAGACUUGUUGUGAUAGAUUGCCAGACAGAGUGGGUGAAAGAGGCGCGUACUUCGAUUUGGUUCACCAGCAGCUGGAAUCGUGGUUGUAAAGGGAUUUAACACAGGCACGGAGUCUGGGAACAUUGAGGCAGGCUUCAUUUGUACGUUUAAGAAGUUACAAUAAUAUACUCACGCUGCAACGAGUUUUCUUUUUUAUGGCAUCUAGCCAGAUUUGGUGACAUCGGCUGUUCAGGACUGACGUAUGUAGCAGAAAGAAACUGUCUGAAAUGUCAUUCCAAGAACUAAGAGGAGUCUGCCUGAGUCAGGCUGCCUGGGCUGUCCGGCAACCAAAGCUUGCAUGGAGUGCUGCUGCAAACUACGUGCUGGAACUGAGGAGUAUUCCCAGAAUCUCUUUGGCAUUGUUUGUGCAGUGCACAUUAAUCACGCUGUGCGGGCACUGUUCUGAAAUGCAUCAGAUGCGGUUUUUACUGAGGGCAGGGCUCAUGGCUUGUGAUCACGAGAAGCUGCAUUAACAGAACUGUGAGAUGAAAGUGUUUGUUUGUUGCAGCAGUGCUGCGUGUGCCAGUUUCUCACUGGUUUCAGAGGAUGUCUUCGUAACUCUUUGCACUGAUCCUACUGUUAGAGAACAGGUCUAUAACAAAACAAACAUUGAUCUGAAUAGAUGCUCGUAAAUUAGUGUUAGAGAGCUUCGUGGAUGCUUGGGACAUCGUUAAUAAGAAAUCCAUAGAUACUGUUUGAAUGCCUACCUGGUAGUUACAUGUAUUCUGAUAGCACUUUUAAUACCACUUAUGAGUUUCUAUUUUUAAAAUGGUAACUUAUUCACAAGUGGGAAGAAGCACACAUCUGAGAUUUUAAAUAGAGGCCUAAAAUAAGUCUAUACGAGGAACGGAUGUUUUCAGAGGAAUGACAUUGCAUGUGAUAGUUGUCACACAGCUGUACUGGCUUUCUAGUAGUGUGUAAUCAUCAAUGGAAUGGAAGUGGUCCUGUUUUUCUGUGGGUUACCAAACUGUUAAUGCGGUCCCUGUGCUCUCUGUGAGCAGUAAUACAACACAUUUGCAUUCAUUUCUUUCUUUGAUUUAUGCCUGGCAUAUAACUUCUGGGAGAUAAAGGAAGAUCUGUUUCUGAGCAAGUUUUUCACCAUCUGCGAAUGGCACAUGACCAAAUUCAGAAGUGAUGUUCAGUGUGGGCCGCAGGUCAGUAAAUGGCUUUGACUCAAAGGGCAGCCACGUUGGUGUCAUGUCAGGGCUGAAGACUGUUCUCUCUUAUGACAGUAAUACACAAAAUGAAGUUUUGUUAACCCUGACUUACAGCACUGACGUAAGUGACUGGACAACGAGCUUCUCUACGCAGGCUUGACGGAACAGCAGUUCAAAGACUUCUGCAAGGCUGAAUUGAGAAAUAGGUGCACCUUUGUACAUUCCAUUGCCAUCCACAGUCAUUAAAAAGUGUGAUACGCUCAGUAGUGCUCCUGAUCACUAUUACUCUAUUUCUUUUCACAGUUGUAACAUCUGUUAUCAGAACAGCCUUAACAAAAAGGCCAGCCAGAAAAUAAAUAAGUGAAGGGAGGAGGAAGAUAAGUUUCUUUAAACCAUUUCUGUUCCAGCUCCCAUAAUUAAUUUCUUCCCUAGUUUUUGCCUCUGGCUGGGAACAGUAAUAUACCAUUAACCCGAGAGAUGUGAAACAUGCUGUGCAGUGCUUGGAAGGGUGUCAGAAGCUCCUCCUGUAAGGGUAAGAAGCUAUUCUGUUGUCUUUUCAGUUGAUGGACAGUCUAAUCCUAGUAUGCACUUCAGCAAAAUGGAACUUCUAAGGUAAUGGUGAAAGCUGAUGGUUGAUUUUUGUAAUUAACGUGUUGCAAAGAUGAACGUAACCGGUGAUAUAUCUGUAUCAGGACAGGUGUGGCAGCUAUUACACUUAAACUGCUAUCUAACACAUUAAAACCUGCUGGACUUUGAAGCCUAUUUUUAGUAAGAGAAUAAAUAAGCUGCUGGUGCCCUACUUUUUGUCAAAAUGUGCCAUGGGAUCUUUAAAUUUCAUUAGAAAAGUCAGUAGAAAUAACACAAGGGAACUCGAUGUCUCAUUUGAAAAGUGGCAGUUCUAGCAAUUCAGUGCUCUUUUUCAUGACAAAAAAUGCUAAUAUUGGGUAUGAGGUCAGACCUUUGCAGUGGGCAGGUGAGAAGCAGCUGGGGAGAGACUUGCCUGUGCGAUGUGUGAGGUUACGUGGAGACACAAGUCUUGGUUCUAUUAGGCACUGUUUAUUCAAGAUGCUUUAGUGAAAGAGGAUGUGUUGUAUGGAUGAAUAGAACUGUUUUUUGCAAAAUCUGUGUUAGGAAGUGGGUAAAACUAAAAAAAGUAUGUAGAAAUAUUAAUAUAUAAAAAGAGAACAUAGCAGCAAAGUCAGACUGCUGUGUCAGGAUGCUGUUGCUCUUUGUGAAGGCCUUGCUCUUGCUCACUCUGACCAACUCUUUUGACCUUUGCUGUCUGUUACGACAUGGACAUCCACAUGGCUGAUGAACAAGCUGUCUUGUGCAGUGUGCCCAUACUCAGAAACCCGUUUGUCAUGAGCAGGUGCAGAAAAUAAGCAACUACGCACAAAUGUUGUAGUCUGCAUUCAGUGACAACUGUGCACUUUCAUACAGUUUCUGUACAGAUAAAUCAUGUGAAAAAUAUUGCUUUAUUAUAACAAGGUUAGCAUAGAAUUGGCAUAAAUUGAUCAAAAAUGCCACCAUUUAAGGCUGUGUACCCAAAACCUUCUAAUUGUGGCAUUUGUGAUUUGAAGCAAUACGGCAAUGUGCCUACUUCUGUGGAUGUACAGGAUGGGAUAAUGGGGUGUGGCUCCCAGCUCAUACUGGUGCACUCACAGCCUCAGUCAGAGGGACUGUGGUUCCCCAGCCAUGGCCCAGACCCAGGGAGCCUGAGAGAGGCGGCAGUGCCCAUGGGAGGAUGGGCUGUGCUGAUGGGCAGGCAGUGGGCAGCUCUGGGAGCUCAGGCUGCUCUCUGGUUGCAACCACUCCUGUGUGACAGCUCACUCUGCCCUGGUCAGAGGGGAAAAAGGGAAGGAACUCAGCCCACUCAGUGACAGCAGGGCUCUGUCUCCCUUAAGGGUAUAUCAGCUGACUGCUUGUACUGCUGAUGUGUUACAGCGGUCAGGAAAGGUCAGAAGGACAAGGAAGAGGCCCUCUAUUUCUAGUGGCUUUGGGUCAUUUAAGUUAGGCUUACAGAUUUAAGAUGAAAGGCCUCAAGCACUUCAUUCAGUAAAGGCCCAGAACAAGGAAGUGCAAGGAUGAGCGUCUGGGUACCGGUGCCGCUGGCUGUGUGGGGCCCUGCUUCAGAUAACAGCUUGACUCUCUGGCUCCUGUAUGCCUGCUGUAGGUUCUCAGAGAACUUUCCACUGAAGUUUAUACGUAUUAAAAAACUGUUUAGCAAAACACUGUUAGAAACUGCCUGGUCUUACUGCUGGCUGUAGCCUCAUCAGCCAAAUUCGGCAUCCGUUUUGUCUGACAUCUGCAUUUGCAGUCUGGUACCGAAUGUCACUCAGUCCAUUAUUUGCUGUUGCCUCCCUCUCCACCAGAGUCAGUGUGAGAAACAAAGAGCAGCUUAUUGUAUGUAGAAGCACACGUGGGUACAGUCCUGGAAAAGAGACCAGGGUGCUGCUCAGUACACCUUCUGAGGGAGUCCUCUGCUCACAGAGCUGAGGGAGACAGAGUUCUUCACCGCAGCCAUUAUCAUACAAUCACAGAAUGGCUUGGGUUGGAAAGGACCUUAAAGCCCUUCCACUUCCAACAGGGAUACGAUACCACCCACCUGGUCAGGCUCCCAGGGCCCCAUCCAACCUGGCCCUGGACACCUCUGCAGAUGGGCAUCCACAGCUUCUAUGGGCAGCCUGUGCCAAGACCUCACUGCCCUCAUAGUGAAGAAUUUCCUCCUAACAUCUGACCUAAAUCUGUUCGCCACAAGAAGUUCUGUGCAUUAACUGAUCACGGCUGAUAGGUUUGUGGAUGUUGUGUUGUAUCACGGAGGGGACACCAGCAAGUUGCCACCAGUACCAGCAUUAAAGUUGUAGUAAAUGAUUUCUAAACAUGUCCUGGCCAGUACUCAGCUGAGUUUUGGAUCACCGUCCUUUAGAUUUACCUAGAUGCUUUUUUUCCCAGAAAAGUUUUUUCUGCUUUAGGCCAAAAAUCUUUUGCACAGCGUUUCCCCUCACACCGCUGUCUCCUCUGCUUGGUUCUGCUGCUGCUGUUGUGAGCUGUCUGCAGAUGCACAGGCAGUGUGUGCACUGGUUCCUUUUUCUGAACGUGGCUGUUACACAGGGCUAAAAUAACGUCUACCAGAAUGCUGAAAAUGACACAUUUUCUAGUGACCGAGAAUGUGCCCUAGGUGUACAGCUGUUUUGCAUGCAAAGACAUGACUCAGAUACAGCCUUUUUAGACAAAAACCUUUUGUUAUACUGAGAACAUAUGUAACAAUAGCCGGGGGGGGCAGAAUAAUAGAGCACUUGUUGUUCUGCGAAGGGGGGUGGGAAGAGAAUCUAAAAAUAAGGAAAUUGAAAAUUUAAAUCAUAUUUAAAACUUCUGUUUCUUUCACUGCCAUGUAGGGUAUAAAAAUGUUUACUUAAGGUGCUACGGACGGGUUCCUUGUCCAUAUUGUGUGCACGGCCCAUAACAGCUGCGUGGCAGACACAAACACGAGCAGGGUGCAGGCUGAUGGACUGCAAUCUGAAAUAUGCUGGUAACUGCUGAUUGAGAUCACUGCACUCCCACCACUAAGUACUGAGGCAUUAAAGCACAGAAUGAAAAAGAAAUGUGAAGUCUGGAGCACAGACCUACAGAAAUCGCCCCGUGAGUGGAUUUCCCUGAAUUCUAUUCAUAGAUACAGCUGAAGGUGUAUAUAGUAUAAGACAAUGCCUAAGUGCUUGUAGCUUUAUACACAAUGGGCAAUUCAAGGCACCAUUGUUAAACUGAAAAAAUGGCAGUGUAGCAAUUAUUAUGAAGUUUCUGGAUUGUAACCCUCUGCUGCUUCUACGAAAUCACUCUCAUCCAAAU
ensembl:lncRNA